UUUCCGUAGGUGAACCUGCGGAAGGAUCAUUAGCGAGUUAGGGUCUUCCAGGCCCGACCUCCCAACCCUAUGUUUAUUGAACCUCUGUUGCUUCGGCGGACCCGUCUCACGACCGCCGGAGGACCGCCGCGAGGCGUCCUCUGGCCAGCGUCCGCCGAUGGCCAACCACUUAACUCUGAAUGAAUCGUGUCAUUAUGUCUAAGUCUAUGAUUAAAUUAAAGCAAAACUUUCAACAACGGAUCUCUUGGUUCUG
rnacentral:misc_RNA from 1 species